rnacentral:misc_RNA from 1 species
AAGUCGUAACAAGGUUUCCGUAGGUGAACCUGCGGAAGGAUCAUUAGCGAAGUUCGGAAUGCAUGUUCGUUGUUGAUGCUGCCCAGCAAUGGGAUGUGCUCGCUCGGAUGUGUGUCCCUUCUCUAUCCACCCCAUUGUGAACCAAGUGUGUGAGCCGAAGAGAAAUCGGACGCUCGCAUGCAAACCUUUAACAUACCCCAAUGAAGUAUCAGAAUGUACCUUGCGUUAACUCGCACAAAUAUAACUUUCAACAACGGAUCUCUUGGCUCUC